rnacentral:rRNA from 1 species
UACGUAGGGUCCGAGCGUUGUCCGGAAUUACUGGGCGUAAAGCGCGCAGCGAGCGGCCCGCGAGGUGUCACGUGAAAGCCCCGGGCUCAACCCGGGAGGGUCGUGGCAAACCGGCGGGCUUGAGGCCGGUAGAGGUGGGUGGAACUCCUGGUGGAGUGGUGAAAUGCGUAGAGAUCAGGAAGAACACCCGUGGCGAAGGCGGCCCACUGGGCCGGUACUGACGCUGAGGCGCGAAGGCGUGGGGAGGCGAACGGG